GGUCUUGUAUUCAUAAAAUGAUAUUAGAAUGCAAUUCUAAAUGGUGUAGAAGUAAAUACUAAGACUU
rnacentral:tRNA from 1 species